rnacentral:rRNA from 1 species
AUUGAACGCUGGCGGAAUGCUUUACACAUGCAAGUCGAGCGGCAGCACGGGGGCAACCCUGGUGGCGAGCGGCGAACGGGUGAGUAAUACAUCGGAACAUGCCCAGUCGUGGGGGAUAACGCUUCGAAAGAAGUGCUAAUACCGCAUACGUCCUGAGGGAGAAAGCGGGGGAUCUUCGGACCUCGCGCGAUUGGAGUGGCCGAUGUCAGAUUAGCUAGUUGGUGGGGUAAAGGCCUACCAAGGCAACGAUCUGUAGCUGGUCUGAGAGGAUGAUCAGCCACACUGGGACUGAGACACGGCCCAGACUCCUACGGGAGGCAGCAGUGGGGAAUAUUGGACAAUGGGCGAAAGCCUGAUCCAGCCAUGCCGCGUGUGUGAAGAAGGUCUUCGGAUUGUAAAGCACUUUAAGUUGGGAGGAAGGGCAGUAAGUUAAUACCUUGCUGUUUUGACGUUACCGACAGAAUAAGCACCGGCUAACUUCGUGCCAGCCGCCGCCGUAAUAC